CCCUACGGGCGCAGCAGUGAGGAAUAUUGGUCAAUGGGAGAGAUCCUGAACCAGCCAAGCCGCGUGAGGGAAGACGGCCCUAUGGGUUGUAAACCUCUUUUGUCGGAGAACAAAACCCGGGACGUGUCCCGGACUGCGUGUAUCCGAAGAAAAAGCAUCGGCUAACUCCGUGCCAGCAGCCGCGGUAAUACGGAGGAUGCGAGCGUUAUCCGGAUUUAUUGGGUUUAAAGGGUGCGUAGGCGGAGUGUUAAGUCAGCGGUCAAAGCCCGGGGCUCAACCCCGGCCCG
rnacentral:rRNA from 1 species